rnacentral:rRNA from 1 species
CAGUCGCCGCGGUAAUACGUAGGUGGCAAGCGUUGUCCGGAAUUAUUGGGCGUAAAGGGCUCGCAGGCGGUUUCUUAAGUCUGAUGUGAAAGCCCCCGGCUCAACCGGGGAGGGUCAUUGGAAACUGGGAAACUUGAGUGCAGAAGAGGAGAGUGGAAUUCCACGUGUAGCGGUGAAAUGCGUAGAGAUGUGGGGGAACACCAGUGGCGAAGGCGACUCUCUGGUCUGUAACUGACGCUGAGGAGCGAAAGCGUGGGGAGCGAACGGGAUUAGAGACCCGAGUAGUCCCUGUCUCUUAUAA